ACCUCAAAUCGGGUGAGACUACCCGCUGAACUUAAGCAUAUCGAUAANCGGAGGA
rnacentral:rRNA from 1 species